rnacentral:rRNA from 1 species
CGGCGGACGGGUGAGUAACACGUGGAUAACCUACCUAUAAGACUGGGAUAACUUCGGGAAACCGGAGCUAAUACCGGAUAAUAUUUUGAACCGCAUGGUUCAAAAGUGAAAGACGGUCUUGCUGUCAAUUAUAGAUGGAUCCGCGCUGCAUUAGCUAGUUGGUAAGGUAACGGCUUACCAAGGCAACGAUGCAUAGCCGACCUGAGAGGGUGAUCGGCCACACUGGAACUGAGACACGGUCCAG